ensembl:lncRNA
CCCAGGAACCCGCUCCCCUUGCUGCUCUGGGCUCUGGGGCCACAUAGGGAGGCAGCCUGCAGGGCCCCUGCCCCAGAGAAAGGCUGCCUGGAGGAUUAACAUUCAGCCCAGGGACCGGCCGGUGGCGCAGCAGUUAAGCGUGCGCUUUUCGCUUCGGUGGCCCCGGGUUCGCCGGUUCGGAUCCCGGGUCCGGACAUGGCACCGCUUGGCACACCAUGCUGUGGAGACCCCAGAGGGCUCUCUUGCCCCUUCUGCCAUGUGAGGACACAGCGAGAAGAUGGCUGUCUGUGAACCAGGAAGUGGACCCUCACCAGACACGGAAUGCACUGGAGUCCUGCUCUUGGACUUCCCAGCCUGGAGAACUGUGAGAGACGAAUGCAGCUUGACUAGCCCUGAGCUAACAUCUGCUGCCAAUCCUCCUCUUCUUGCUGAGGAAGACUGGCCCUGAGCUAACAUCCAUGCCCAUCUUCCUCUACUUUCUAUGUGGGAUGCCUACCACAGCAUGGCUUGCCAAGUGGUGCCAUGUUUAUACCUGGGAUCCGAACCCGUGAACCCCCGGACACUGAAGCAGAAUGUGUGCACUCAACUGCUGCGUCCCCGGGCCGGCCACACAUUUAUUCUUAAAUAGUGAGUUAAGGAUGAGAACUGCUAAAUCGUUGCGUGUGCUGCAUGUUCAACUCUAUUAGGCAAGGCUAGACUAUUUUCCAAGGAGACUGAACCAAUCUUUACUCCCACCCAUAAUGCAUGAGCAUCCCCACAGAGCCAUACAUCCUUGCCAAAUGUGCAACUGUUCAACUUUAUAAUUUUUCCAAGCUAGUGGGAAUAAAAUUCCAACUCAUUGUGACUUUAAUUUACAUCUCUCUGAUUACUAAUGAGAUUGGAUAUCUGUCUUGUUUUUAUCUUCUAUAUCCGUAGUGAUUAUUAUUUUAUCCUUGAUAUAUUAGUCAUUGAAAGAGUUGUGAUAAAAUCUCUAAUUAUGAUAAUGGGUUUAAUUUCUCCUUGUUUUGCUUUGUAUAUUUUGGGUUAUGUUACCAGGUGCAUAAGAGUUUAGAAUUGCUGCGUCUUCUUGGAGUUAUAUAUUCCUUCUCUGUUUCUAAUAAUGCUUUUGCCUUGAAGCCUAGUUUGUCUGUUAUUAACAGAGUGAUAAAUCCUUUUUUUUUUUUUUUUGAGGAAGAUUAGCCCUGAGCUAACUGCUGCCAAUCCUCCUCUUUUUGCUGAGGAAGACUGGCCCUGAGCUAACAUCCAUGCCCAUCCUCCUCUACUUUAUAUGUGGGACACCUGCCACAGCAUGGCUUUUGCCAAGUGGGGCCAUGUCCGCACCCAGGAUCCGAACCAGCGAACCCCGGGCCACCGAAGCGGAACUUGUGCACUUAACCGCUGUGCCACCGGGCCGGCCCCUGAUAAAGCUUUUGAUUUUGAUCUUUUUCCAGAUAAAGAAGGACAAUUUAUAUUUGUCUCCCUCUCUUCCUCUUAGUUGGGUCAAAUCACUUCUAAACUACCAGUUGGCCUUUGUGAGAGGUGACUUGAUUUCUUAUUUUAAAACUAUUUAUAUUAUGGAAACUUUUCAAUAUAGACAAAACUACAGAACCAUAUAAAAUGAACCCCCACGUACCCAUCAACCAGCUCAGAUAUACACCAAAUCAAUAUAUUUAUCUCCAUUUGUUCUCCCAUCCAAUAGUAUUUUGAAGAAGCUCUCAUCCGUCAUAUAAAUUAAUCCCUAAAUAUUUAAGAAGUAUCUCUAAAAGAAAAGGACUAAAAAGAAACCCAAUUCCCAUUACUGUCCUAUAACAAUAAUUUCCUAGCAUCAUCAAGUGUCAUCUUUUACAAUUUGCUUGUUUGAGUGAGGAUCUAAAUAAGGCCUGUGAGAGUGUAUAAUUGGCCAACGUCUCUUAAGUCUCGUUCAGACUACAUUUAUAUUAGUACAGGCUCCUACUCUUUCUCUUUUAUUUUCCUUGCAAUUUGAUGAAGAAACCAGGUCCUUUGUCCUUCAUAUAAAAAUAUUUUAUUUGAUGGGAUUAUAUAGAUAAUAUUCUUUAGCAAUAUAUGUUGGCCGUCUUUCCUCUUAGUACCUAUAAGUCAAUUUUUGGUUUUUAGCUGGUGCACAGAACUCCAUAGUUACUAUUUUUUAAAAUGUCUUAUCUCCUCUACUUACCUACAUGAGCCUUGGAGGAGAUAAUUCACUCAGCAAACAUUUAAUGAGCACCUAGUCUCUGCUAGGCCCCAUGCCCGAUCCUGAGAGCUGUAGUAGGAAUAAGCCAGACAGGUUCCCGAAGCUUCAACUCAGACUUUCAUGGUCUGCAGCAUGUUUGAAGAGACCUUGUUAAAUGCAGGUCCCAGGGCCCCCUCCCAGACGGGCUGUCUCUCUCGUCUAGCACUGUCCUGUACAAAUGCGUGUCAAUUUACAUUUUCUAGUAAUUAUGUAAAAAGAUAAAAAGAAACAGGUG